AAAUUGAAGAGUUUGAUCAUGGCUCAGAUUGAACGCUGGCGGCAGGCCUAACACAUGCAAGUCGAACGGUAACAGGAAGCAGCUUGCUGCUUCGCUGACGAGUGGCGGACGGGUGAGUAAUGUCUGGGAAACUGCCUGAUGGAGGGGGAUAACUACUGGAAACGGUGGCUAAUACCGCAUAACGUCGCAAGACCAAAGAGGGGGACCUUCGGGCCUCUUGCCAUCAGAUGUGCCCAGAUGGGAUUAGCUUGUUGGUGAGGUAACGGCUCACCAAGGCGACGAUCCCUAGCUGGUCUGAGAGGAUGACCAGCCACACUGGAACUGAGACACGGUCCAGACUCCUACGGGAGGCAGCAGUGGGGAAUAUUGCACAAUGGGCGCAAGCCUGAUGCAGCCAUGCCGCGUGUAUGAAGAAGGCCUUCGGGUUGUAAAGUACUUUCAGCGGGGAGGAAGGUGUUGCGGUU
rnacentral:rRNA from 1 species